rnacentral:rRNA from 1 species
GGUAGGGCAAGUCUGGUGCCAGCAGCCGCGGUAAUUCCAGCUCCAAUAGCGUAUAUUAAAGUUGUUGCAGUUAAAAAGCUCGUAGUUGAACCUUGGGCCUGGCUGGCCGGUCCGCCUCACCGCGUGCACUGGUUCGGCCGGGCCUUUCCCUCUGGGGAGCCGCAUGCUCUCCACUGAGUGUGUCGGGGAACCAAGACUUUUACUGUGAAAAAAUUAUAGUGUUCAAAGCAGGCCUAUGCUCGAAUACGUUAGCAUGGAAUAAUAGAAUAUGACGUGUGGUUCUAUUUUGUUGGUUUCUAGGACCGCCGUAAUGAUUAAUAGGGACAGUCGGGGGCAUCAGUAUUCAAUUGUCAGAGGUGAAAUUCUUGGAUUUAUUGAAGACUAACUACUGCGAAAGCAUUUGCCAAGGAUGUUUUCAUUAAUCAGGAACGAAAGUUAGGGGAUCGAAGACGAUCAGAUACCGUCGUAGUCUUAACCAUAAACUAUGCCGACUAGGGAUCGGACGAUGUUACUUAUUGACUCUUUUGGCACCUUAUCGGAAAC